AUGCAAGUCGAGGGGCAGCGGGUUGAAAGCUUGCUUUCAAUGCCGGCGACCGGCGCACGGGUGCGUAACGCGUAUCAAACCUGCCUCACACUCGGGGAUAGCCUUGCGAAAGUAAGAUUAAUACCCGAUGUUGUUGCUUUCUCGCAUGGGAGGGUAACCAAAGAUUUAUCGGUAUGAGAUGGUGAUGCGUCCGAUUAGGUAGUAGGCGGGGUAACGGCCCACCUAGCCUUCGAUCGGUAGGGGUUCUGAGAGGAAGGUCCCCCACACUGGAACUGAGACACGGUCCAGACUCCUACGGGAGGCAGCAGUGAGGAAUAUUGGUCAAUGGGCGAGAGCCUGAACCAGCCAAGUAGCGUGCAGGAUGACGGCCCUCCGGGUUGUAAACUGCUUUUAGUUGGGAAUAAAAAAAGGGACUUGUCCCUUCUUGUAUGUACCUUCAGAAAAAGGACCGGCUAAUUCCGUGCCAGCAGCCGCGGUAAUACGGAAGGUCCAGGCGUUAUCCGGAUUUAUUGGGUUUAAAGGGAGCGUAGGCGGAUUGUUAAGUCAGCGGUUAAAGGGUGUGGCUCAACCAUGCAUUGCCGUUGAAACUGGCGAUCUUGAGUGCAGACAGGGAUGCCGGAAUUCGUGGUGUAGCGGUGAAAUGCUUAGAUAUCACGAAGAACUCCGAUCGCGAAGGCAGGUGUCCGGGCUGCAACUGACGCUGAGGCUCGAAAGUGUGGGUAUCAAACAGGAUUAGAUACCCUGGUAGUCCACACAGUAAACGAUGUAUACUCGCGGUUUGCGAUAGAUUGUAAGCCGCCAAGCGAAAGCAUUAAGUAUACCACCUGGGAGUACGCCGGCAACGGU
rnacentral:rRNA from 1 species